GUGCUUGCUUUGGCAGCACAUAUACUAAAAUUGGAAUGAUACAGAGAAGAUCAGCAUGGCCCCUGUGCAAGGAUGGACACAAAUUCGUGAAGCAUUCCAUAUUUUU
ensembl:snRNA RNU6-1181P RNA, U6 small nuclear 1181, pseudogene